UUAAGUUCAGCGGGUAUCCCUACCUGAUCCGAGGUCAACCUUUAAAAUUUGGGGUUACUGGCAAGUAUCCAAUAGACAUCCAUAGCGAGAAAAAUUACUACGCUUAGAGCCUAAUGGCACCGCCACUGAUUUUAAGGCCCGUCAGUAAUAGACGAGGCCCAAUACCAAGCAGAGCUUGAGGGUUGCAAUGACGCUCGAAC
rnacentral:misc_RNA from 1 species